UACGUAGGGUCCGAGCGUUGUCCGGAAUUACUGGGCGUAAAGAGCUCGUAGGUGGUUUGUCGCGUUGUUCGUGAAAACUCACAGCUUAACUGUGGGCGUGCGGGCGAUACGGGCAGACUGGAGUACUGCAGGGGAGACUGGAAUUCCUGGUGUAGCGGUGGAAUGCGCAGAUAGUCGGGAGGAACACCGGUGGCGAAGGCGGCGAUCUGGGUAGAUACUGACGCUGAGGUGCGAAAGCGUGGGGAGCAAACAGG
rnacentral:rRNA from 1 species